UUCUGACUCAUUACAGAACCCAAACACACACACACACACACUUACUUCUGGUCUUCUACAUUGCCUUGUCUUCUUCAAGGCCUUCUCCAAGAUCUUCAUACUUGUUCAUCUUCCAGUUCCCUUUCUCCAUAAAGAUUCAAACUUCACAGCUGCAACUUCAAGAUAGUUGCAGAUGACCAACUGGGCUGCCACAUUUUCUCAAAAUAUGAUCAGAAACAGAGACUUACUUCAAUUCUUUCCUCUAUUUUACUCCUCUGCUUGGCCUCUUCACCCAAUUGCUUUCAUAAUCAAAGCCAUCUUCUUUUUUGUUUUUUCUACCUUAUUUUUAUAUGUUUGAAUAGAUACAUCAACAUAACCAGCAAUUCAAUAUAAACUUAGCUUCCCUAUUUAAGUAGGAAAAAAGAAUUUUUUAAAAAAAAAAGGAAUAACUAACAGAUAUUCAUAUCACUCACUAACUCCAUAAAGAUAUAUGAAGUUGUUCCAACAACAAUGAGAGAUGAGAACUCCAAGAAAAGCAAGCUUUCAUGGCCCAAGACAUUGGUCAAGAAGUGGUUCAAUAUCAAGUGCAAAACUGAUAACUUUCAAGCAGAUGAUGACGUUGAUAAUGAUGUCCUUUAUCAAGGUAUUGAUGAAGAGAGGAAGAACAACUAUUCAGAGAAAGAGGCAUGCACCAUCAAAAAAAGCAAAACAGAUAAACCAAGCAGAAGAUUCUCAGACAGAAUUCAUGGAGGUAAGAAUGACCUUGAUGAAGCUCAGAUUACAGAAGUGUAUAAUUAUAGAAUCUUUGUUGCCACUUGGAAUGUAGCAGGGAAGUCACCUCCAAGUUAUUUGAACCUUGAAGAUUGGCUUCACACCUCUCCACCCGCUGAUAUCUAUGUUCUUGGGUUUCAAGAAAUUGUACCUCUUAAUGCUGGUAACAUUUUGGGAACAGAAGACAAUGGCCCUGCAAGGAAAUGGCUUGCACUUAUUAGGAAGACCCUUAACAGUCUUCCAGGAACAAGUGGUGGAUGCCACACUCCAUCACCACUCUCUGAUCCUAUUAUAGAGAUUGAAGCUGAUUUUGAGGGAUCAAUGAGGCAGAAGACAACCUCUUUCCUCCAUAGAAGGUCUUUCCAAUCCUUGAGUCAUAGUAUGAAAAUGGAUAGUGACAUCUCACUGCCACAACCGAGCUUUGAUCGGCGUCUCAGCGUCUGUGAUAGAAUGAUAUAUGCUCACAGGCCUAGUGACUACCGAUGGGGUUCUUCAGAUGAUGAAAAUGGAGCUGGGGACUCCCCAGUUACGGCAUCAUAUUCGCCAGUGCAAUAUAGCGGUUGUUUCCCUAUGGAGGAUGUUGAGAAACAGACAGGGCAACCGAGAUAUUGUUUGGUUGCUAGUAAGCAAAUGGUGGGGAUAUUUCUAACAGUUUGGGUGAAAAGUGAUAUCAGAGAUUAUAUUCACAGCUUGAAGGUGUCUUCUGUUGGCAGAGGUUUGAUGGGAUAUCUUGGAAACAAGGGUUCAAUAUCAAUUAGCAUGUCUUUGCACCAAACAAGCUUUUGUUUCAUCUGUAGUCAUUUGACUUCAGGGCAAAAGGAUGGUGAUGAGCUAAGGAGAAACUUAGAUGUAAUGGAAAUUCUGAGAAAGACAAGGUUUCCCCUUGUCCAAGGCACCAGUGACCAUUAUUCACCUCAGACAAUUCUGGAACAUGACCGAAUAAUUUGGCUGGGGGAUUUAAAUUAUCGGGUAGCCCUUUCUUAUCGUGCGGCGAAAGCUCUUGUUGAGAUGCAUAAUUGGAAGGACUUGUUAGAGAAUGACCAACUGCGAAUAGAGCAGAGGCAAGGUCGAGUAUUCGAAGGAUGGAACGAAGGGAAAAUAUACUUCCCUCCCACAUACAAGUAUUCAAACAACUCAGACAGGUAUGCAGGAGAUGGAAGACAUUCAAAACAAAAGAGAACUCCAGCAUGGUGUGAUAGAAUCUUAUGGCAUGGGAGAGGCCUUCACCAAUUAUCUUAUGUUCGUGGGGAGUCAAGAUUCUCUGAUCAUAGACCUGUGUAUAGCAUAUUCUCAGCAGAAGUUGAUCAAAGAAGCUCUAGUUACUCCAAUUAAUUAUGACUACACUGAUUUGAAUUUCCUUUAAAAAAGCAUGCAUUUGAAUUUGAACAUGUCUGUCACUCCAUUCUCCUUACGACAUGGUCCCCUCCUCUUGCUGGCAGGUGCAGCUGUUACUAUCAUGUUUCCAUACAAGAGAGUUCAUGGUUUUGCCAAGCACUCUUGAAUACCUGAGGCUCUCAAUCUGAAUUCUCAUUAACAAGAUAAUGAUUUGAAGAAUUGAACUGUGUCUGGCAAGCUUCAGAUCCAAAUAAUAUUGAUUUUAUUCAUGAACACAAAAAAAAAAGUGUUCUAUUUUCUAAAGUGGUUAGUUAGUUAACCUUGUAAUGAAGAGAGUGACACAAUAAUUGUUUUAACGAUAUAGGAUAAAGAAGUGGAUAUUGCAAAAGUGCAGUAGCUCAAUAAUCGAUUUUGAUCCACUUAGAGAUAUAAGAGAUUGAUUUUCAUGAUAAUGACUCUCAUUAAAGUUGUCAAACAUAAGACAUGGACCAUCAAGGACUUCAAACAAUGCAUUUAUUAUCAUUUACUUACCGAGAUGUCUCACAUUUAUUAAGUUGUCAUAACCUAAGAUAUGGUCCCAUCAA